rnacentral:rRNA from 1 species
AACGUAGGUGGCGAGCGUUAUCCGGAUUUACUGGGCGUAAAGCGUGUGCAGGCGGGUUCCCAAGUGGGGUAUGAAAUCGCGCGGCUAAACCGGGCGGGGUUAUGCCAGACUGGUGGUCUAGAGUGCGAGAGAGGGGCGUGGAAUUCCGGGUGUAGUGGUGAAAUGCGUAGAGAUCCGGAGGAACCCCAGAGGCGAAGGCGGCGCCCUGGCUCGCAACUGACGCUCAGACACGACAGCAUGGGGAGCGAACGGG